UACAGAGGGGGCAAGCGUUGUUCGGAAUUACUGGGCGUAAAGGGCGCGUAGGCGGCCCGCUAAGUCGAACGUGAAAUCCCCGGGCUUAACCCGGGAACUGCGUCCGAUACUGGCAGGCUUGAAUCCGGGAGAGGGAUGUGGAAUUCCAGGUGUAGCGGUGAAAUGCGUAGAUAUCUGGAGGAACACCGGUGGCGAAGGCGGCAUCCUGGACCGGUAUUGACGCUGAGGCGGCGAAAGCUAGGGGAGCAAACGGGGAUUAAGAAACCCC
rnacentral:rRNA from 1 species